rnacentral:lncRNA from 1 species
UUUGGUCUCUUUUUUGCCUUUUUGUCUAAGUGUUGGCAAUUCGGGCAAACGGGCUGAUAACUCAGCAUCCGUAUAUCGGAAUCGAGUCCCGUAAGUUGUAACGCAUGCUUAAUGUCUAUGCGGUGCUAUGUGUGUGUUUGCGUUUAGUUCAGAUGACCGAUACGGGUUUUGGUCUCUUUUUUUCCUUUUUGUCUAACUGUUGGUUAAUUAGGAAAACGGGCUGAUAACUCGGCAUCCGUAUAUCGGAAUCGAUUCCCGUAAGUUGCAACACAUGCC